rnacentral:rRNA from 1 species
UCGAGCGGUAGCACAGAGAGCUUGCUCUCGGGUGACGAGCGGCGGACGGGUGAGUAAUGUCUGGGAAACUGCCUGAUGGAGGGGGAUAACUACUGGAAACGGUAGCUAAUACCGCAUAAUGUCGCAAGACCAAAGUGGGGGACCUUCGGGCCUCAUGCCAUCAGAUGUGCCCAGAUGGGAUUAGCUAGUAGGUGGGGUAACGGCUCACCUAGGCGACGAUCCCUAGCUGGUCUGAGAGGAUGACCAGCCACACUGGAACUGAGACACGGUCCAGACUCCUACGGGAGGCAGCAGUGGGGAAUAUUGCACAAUGGGCGCAAGCCUGAUGCAGCCAUGCCGCGUGUGUGAAGAAGGCCUUCGGGUUGUAAAGCACUUUCAGCGGGGAGGAAGGCGUUAAGGUUAAUAACCUUGGCGAUUGACGUUACCCGCAGAAGAAGCACCGGCUAACUCCGUGCCAGCAGCCGCGGUAAUACGGAGGGUGCAAGCGUUAAUCGGAAUUACUGGGCGUAAAGCGCACGCAGGCGGUCUGUCAAGUCGGAUGUGAAAUCCCCGGGCUCAACCUGGGAACUGCAUUCGAAACUGGCAGGCUAGAGUCUUGUAGAGGGGGGUAGAAUUCCAGGUGUAGCGGUGAAAUGCGUAGAGAUCUGGAGGAAUACCGGUGGCGAAGGCGGCCCCCUGGACAAAGACUGACGCUCAGGUGCG